rnacentral:rRNA from 1 species
AGCUGCUAAUACCGUAUAACAAUCGAAACCGCAUGGUUUUGAUUUGAAAGGCGCUUUCGGGUGUCGCUGAUGGAUGGACCCGCGGUGCAUUAGCUAGUUGGUGAGGUAACGGCUCACCAAGGCCACGAUGCAUAGCCGACCUGAGAGGGUGAUCGGCCACAUUGGGACUGAGACACGGCCCAAACUCCUACGGGAGGCAGCAGUAGGGAAUCUUCGGCAAUGGACGAAAGUCUGACCGAGCAACGCCGCGUGAGUGAAGAAGGUUUUCGGAUCGUAAAACUCUGUUGUUAGAGAAGAACAAGGAUGAGAGUAACUGUUCAUCCCUUGACGGUAUCUAACCAGAAAGCCACGGCUAACUACGUGCGAGCAGCCGCGGUAAUACGUAGGUGGCAAGCGUUGUCCGGAUUUAUUGGGCGUAAAGCGAGCGCAGGCGGUUUCUUAAGUCUGAUGUGAAAGCCCCCGGCUCAACCGGGGAGGGUCAUUGGAAACUGGGAGACUUGAGUGCAGAAGAGGAGAGUGGAAUUCCAUGUGUAGCGGUGAAAUGCGUAGAUAUAUGGAGGAACACCAGUGGCGAAGGCGGCUCUCUGGUCUGUAACUGACGCUGAGGCUCGAAAGCGUGGGGAGCAAACAGGAUUAGAUACCCUGGUAGUCCACGCCGUAAACGAUGAGUGCUAAGUGUUGGAGGGUUUCCGCCCUUCAGUGCUGCAGCUAACGCAUUAAGCACUCCGCCUGGGGAGUACGACCGCAAGGUUGAAACUCAAAGGAAUUGACGGGGGCCCGCACAAGCGAUGGAGCAUGUGGUUUAAUUCGAAGCAACGCGAAGAACCUUACCAGGUCUUGACAUCCUUUGACCACUCUAGAGAUAGAGCUUCCCCUUCGGGGGCAAAGUGACAGGUGGUGCAUGGUUGUCGUCAGCUCGUGUCGUGAGAUGUUGGGUUAAGUCCCGCAACGAGCGCAACCCUUAUUGUUAGUUGCCAUCAUUUAGUUGGGCACUCUAGCAAGACUGCCGGUGACAAACCGGAGGAAGGUGGGGAUGACGUCAAAUCAUCAUGCCCCUUAUGACCUGGGCUACACACGUGCUACAAUGGGAAGUACAACGAGUCGCGAAGUCGCGAGGCUAAGCUAAUCUCUUAAAGCUUCUCUCAGUUCGGAUUGUAGGCUGCAACUCGCCUACAUGAAGCCGGAAUCGCUAGUAAUCGCGGAUCAGCACGCCGCCC